ensembl:lncRNA
CUUGGGAAGGGUGGAGUGAACUAACAUGAUUAUCUUCCUAGUGAAAAGAAAGAAACUUUAGUAGGCCUGGAAAGAUCUAAACACCCUUUGAAGACCUGCCGUUCGCCAGGCACUGCUUGGUGCAUCUCACAGCUGGAGAAGGAAAUGGCAACCCACUCCAAUAUUCUUGUCUGGAGAAUUCCAGAAACAGAGGAACUUGACAAGCUGCAGUCCAUGGGGUCAUAGAGAGCCGGACACUGCUGAGUGACUAACACACACACGUAUUUCAGCUGCUUUACUGGAGAAGGGGGACGUCUCUAUGGGACCUGGCCCCAGAGUAUUUCUGCAGGUGGACACUGUCAUUACAUCACUGCAGACAGGAGGGACCCACCAGGAGAAGAAGCAAAGGCUGUCUGGGUGACCAAGAGUCUUCAUGAAAGCACCUUCUCCAUUCCUUCAUUCCAGAGAGCCUCCCCUGCACCCCGACUCCAUCUUCUUCCUCCCCGAGUUCAGCCUCCACACGACACACGCAGGGAGUUGACUGUUCUGCUUUUAUUCGAGCAUUCUAUACCCAACACACGGCUAACAAGGGCCUGCUCUGUGUUGGGAUUCAUGCCCGGGGCUUUGCACACGCUCUCCCCAUUUACCUGCAUAGCAGCCUGGGGCCCCCAGGGAGGACUUUUACACCCAUUUGACAGAUGAGAAGAGAGUGACGGUGACUCACAGCUGAACCAGAAUUCCAUCCAGGGAUAUUGACUGUAAAGACUCUGCUCUUGCAACUCAUAACCGUCUACUCAUUCAUUCAAAAAAAAGUUAUUUUUGACACGUGCCAGCUGUUGUGCAAGGCGCCGGAGGUAUAGAAAUAAACGAGAUGGACACGGCGCUUGUCUCUGUGUCCUCAGGUUCCAGUGGGAAGACUGACCCCUCCGUCACAAGGUAACGGGCACACAGGCUCACUGUAAGUCACAGCCAUUGUGAGGACAGAGAAACAUGAGUAGUGGCAGCGAUCUAAUACAGACUGCGGCCAGGGAAGCUGUCUCUGGGCAGGUGACAUUUCAGCUGUACCUGGCGGACUUCCCCGGCGGCACAGUGGAUGAGAAUCCGCCUGCCAAUGCAGGGGGCAUGGGUUCCACCCCUGGCCCGGGAAGGUCACACGUGCACCACACCUGUUGAGCCCGCAAGCCUAGAGCCUGUGCUGCAGCAAGAGAAGAAGCCACUGCCGUGAGAAGCCCACACACUGCGGUGAAGAGUAGCCCCUGCUCACUGCAACAGUG